CCUACGGGGGGCAGCAGUCGAGAAUCAUUCACAAUGGGGGAAACCCUGAUGGUGCGACGCCGCGUGGGGGAAUGAAGGUCUUCGGAUUGUAAACCCCUGUCAUGUGGGAGAAAAUUAAAAAGAUAGUACCACAAGGGGAAGAGACGGCUAACUCUGUGCCAGCAGCCGCGGUAAUACAGAGGUCUCAAGCGUUGUUCGGAAUCACUGGGCGUAAGGCGUGCGUAGGCUGUUUCGUAAGUCGUGUGUGAAAGGCGCGGGCUCAACCCGCGGACGGCACAUGAUACUGCGAGACUAGAGUAAUGGAGGGGGAACCGGAAUUCUCGGUGUAGCAGUGAAAUGCGUAGAUAUCGAGAGGAACACUCGUGGCGAAGGCGGGUUCCUGGACAUUAACUGACGCUGAGGCACGAAGGCCAGGGGAGCGAAAGGGAUUAGAUACCCUAGUAGUC
rnacentral:rRNA from 1 species